rnacentral:misc_RNA from 1 species
CUGAUUAAUAAACAAUCUGAGGACGACAGAUAAGCAGUACCGAUUACUUACAUUGUUUGGUAUCAUCAAAGACCUGGACCAAACCCAAUUAGGUAGAAGGCAAAAAUGAUAGAAAAUAUGAAGAGAGAAACUGUCCAUCACAAGCAAUGGACUUUCCAUCUCCUCUCUCCCUAUUCUGAUUACUUGCGGAUGGAAGACUGCACCCCACCUCACACAUACAUAAUAACAGUCGAGUCGUACAAUCUUGCGAGCUGAGCGGGUAGCAGUAAAAAAGCACAAUACUAGCAUCUCUUUCAGGUGAUUGCAGCUGGAAUGGGUCCAUUGUUGUCGAUACCCUGGGCGCGCUUGGGCCUCCACUCAGUCCGUCCCCUCACAAUCUCCGUCCCACAUUCCAUUCGGAGAAGAUGGUUACACUCAGUGUUGUCAGGGGAGACUGCGGUCAGGGACUGCAGCACACUGUCUCUCGAGCACUCCUUUCGGUAUUCCAGGGUCAAUCCAGCCAGCUCAUGGCUCUCAAGGAUCGAAAUCGGAGCACUCUCAAGAAUCCAGCCAAUAUACUUAACAUUGUUCACAUGCUGGUUGACAUCCAGAUCACUCCACCUAGGAGUUAAGCCGCUUUUCACAUAAUCUGCAGUAUCAUCAUUCAGCUUAGGAAGCUUCCUGCUGUCUUCAUCCAGAAUUGCUGGCUGUUCCACAAAAUAAGGCUCUAUUUCCGAUCUAACCUCUUCAGGUAUUUUAGAUAGUCUCCUAGUGAGUUUAUUCAUCAUCACCCAAAUACUGGUGGCUCUCAUAAUGGUCUGACCCGUACGGUAGUCGCAUACAUGCCAAUCCCGACGCAUGCCAUUUUUCCCGGAUUUACCAACCCAAGUAUCUACUUGAACAAUAUCUCCCCAAGAAGGAUAGUGCUCCACAAGAACCUGCAUUUUGGCAACAACCCAUAUGAGAUUCCUUCUACUCAUCUCAGGUGUUGCACCAAAUCCAUCGCCAAGCAGCCCCGCACCUCUCACAUGAUUAAGCGCCGUUUCCUGUAAAUGAUUCAUUAGCGUUUCUAUAGAAGCCGUUUUAUCUGCCCCAAUCUCAUACGACCGAAUUGAGAAAUUCUGCCUAAACACGAGCCCAUCCUGCACAAUCCUCCCUAGCCCGAAGGCAUCCGCCAGCAUGUCGGGCCGCCUCGGCUUCCAAUCGAUCAGCGUCCACUGCUUCUCCGCCGCAAGGAAUAUAGUAGUGAUGGCAGCCAGUAACAUGCUCAGGUCCGGCAAUUGGUUAUAGAAAGUCCUCGGGGCAGACGAGGACACAUCCUCUUCGGUCUUCAACCCGACCUUGGUCCCGUUGAUCUUCGGGAUGGCCCGGGCGUUGGCCUUGACCUGCAUCCCUCUCGACGUUGAAUUGGGUUUGGCACCCAUGCCGCGGGCGUCCAGACUCUCCGGUCCGCCGCCCCCAUUGCUCCGUAAGAGCUUUGCCGAUUGAACGUCGGACGAUGAUUGGGGCGGCAAGAACCCCGAUGCGGCGAUGGCGGCAACCAUGACGAUCUUCUGAGAAGGGGAGAGGCGGACGACGCCGGAGAUGGUGCUCGGACAGCUAGAGUUCCGGCAGCGACGAGGAGAGAGAAAGAGGGGGAUCGGCUGUGGA